rnacentral:tRNA from 1 species
GGUGGUAUGGUUUAAGGGAAGAAUGCUGCAUGUGUCACGGCAGAGGUCCAGGUUCGAUUCCUGGUUGCCACCG